CAUAGGUUAAUGAGGCGAACCGGGGGAACUGAAACAUCUAAGUACCCCGAGGAAAAGAAAUCAACCGAGAUUCCCCCAGUAGCGGCGAGCGAACGGGGAGCAGCCCAGAGCCUGAAUCAGUGUGUGUGUUAGUGGAAGCGUCUGGAAAGGCGCGCGAUACAGGGUGACAGCCCCGUACACAAAAAUGCACAUACUGUGAGCUCGAUGAGUAGGGCGGGACACGUGGUAUCCUGUCUGAAUAUGGGGGGACCAUCCUCCAAGGCUAAAUACUCCUGACUGACCGAUAGUGAACCAGUACCGUGAGGGAAAGGCGAAAAGAACCCCGGCGAGGGGAGUGAAAAAGAACCUGAAACCGUGUACGUACAAGCAGUGGGAGCACGCUUAGGCGUGUGACUGCGUACCUUUUGUAUAAUGGGUCAGCGACUUAUAUUCUGUAGCAAGGUUAACCGAAUAGGGGAGCCGAAGGGAAACCGAGUCUUAACUGGGCGUUAAGUUGCAGGGUAUAGACCCGAAACCCGGUGAUCUAGCCAUGGGCAGGUUGAAGGUUGGGUAACACUAACUGGAGGACCGAACCGACUAAUGUUGAAAAAUUAGCGGAUGACUUGUGGCUGGGGGUGAAAGGCCAAUCAAACCGGGAGAUAGCUGGUUCUCCCCGAAAGCUAUUUAGGUAGCGCCUCGUGAAUUCAUCUCCGGGGGUAGAGCACUGUUUCGGCAAGGGGGUCAUCCCGACUUACCAACCCGAUGCAAACUGCGAAUACCGGAGAAUGUUAUCACGGGAGACACACGGCGGGUGCUAACGUCCGUCGUGAAGAGGGAAACAACCCAGACCGCCAGCUAAGGUCCCAAAGUCAUGGUUAAGUGGGAAACGAUGUGGGAAGGCCCAGACAGCCAGGAUGUUGGCUUAGAAGCAGCCAUCAUUUAAAGAAAGCGUAAUAGCUCACUGGUCGAGUCGGCCUGCGCGGAAGAUGUAACGGGGCUAAACCAUGCACCGAAGCUGCGGCAGCGACGCUGAUGCGUUGUUGGGUAGGGGAGCGUUCUGUAAGCCUGUGAAGGUGUGCUGUGAGGCAUGCUGGAGGUAUCAGAAGUGCGAAUGCUGACAUAAGUAACGAUAAAGCG
rnacentral:rRNA from 1 species